rnacentral:rRNA from 1 species
UAUAAGCUUUUAAAUGGCAAAACUGCGAAUGGCUCAUUAAAACAGUUAUAGUUUAUUUGGUAGUUUUUUGCUACAUGGAUAACUGUAGUAAUUCUAGAGCUAAUACAUGCGUAAAAUCCUGACUUACGGAGGGGAUGUGCUUAUUAGAUACAAAGCCAGACAAGGUUUACCUUGCAUUCACGGUGAUUCAUAAUAAUUAAACUGAUCGCACAGCAUUGCUGGCGAUAUAUCAUUCAAGUUUCUGACCUAUCAGCUAUUGACGGUAGGGUAUUGGCCUACCGUUGCAAUGACGGGUAACGGAGAAUUAGGGUUCGAUUCCGGAGAGGGAGCCUGAGAAACGGCUACCACAUCUAAGGAUGGCAGCAGGCGCGUAAAUUACCCAAUCCUGACACAGGGAGGUAGUGACAAGAAAUAACAAUACAGGGCAUUUGUCUUGUAAUUGGAAUGAGUAAAGUUUAAAACGCUUUACGAGUAUCUAUUGGAGGGCAAGUCUGGUGCCAGCAGCCGCGGUAAUUCCAGCUCCAAUAGCGUAUAUUAAAUUUGUUGCGGUUAAAAAGCUCGUAGUUGGAUUUUAGUUAAUGUUGCCCGGUCCGUCUCUAUAGAUGUGCAUCUGGUGCGACUGAGACGCCUUCUGAACGUAGAUCAUUUCUUAAUUGAUUUGAUUGAAACUCAGGUUUUUACUUUGAGGAAAUUAGAGUGUUUCAAGCAGGCUUACGCCUUGAAUAUAUUAGCAUGGAAUAAUAUUAUAGGACUUUAGUUCUAUUUUGUUGGUUUAUAGAACAAAAGUGUUGAUU